rnacentral:misc_RNA from 1 species
AAAGUCGUAACAAGGUCUCCGUUGGUGAACCAGCGGAGGGAUCAUUACAACGAGGUUCCAACCCUCAAAACCCCUCGCGAAGCUACCGGUUCGUUGCCUCGGCGGCUUAGGCCGUCGGUAGGCCCCAAGACUCGCCUGUAAAGGUGUCGCUCCUCUGAGUGUAGGCCCUUCGGGGAUUUAGGGAAAUCAAAACUUUUAGCAACGGAUCUCUUGGCUCCG